CAGUCUGCAACUCGACUGCGUGAAGUCGGAAUCGCUAGUAAUCGUGAAUCAGAAUGUCACGGUGAAUACGUUCCC
rnacentral:tRNA from 1 species